UCGGAGCCAAUCAGCGGGCCCAAGGAGAGGCACAGGCGCAUGGGGCGAGUCGGGGCUCCGCUUCCGGCGUCAGGGUCUGGGGAAGGGGCGCAGGCGCCAUGUCCGGCCGUGAGGGUGGCAAGAAGAAGCCCCUGAAGCAGCCCAAGAAGCAGGCGAAGGAGAUGGACGAGGAGGACAAGGCGUUCAGGCAGAAGCAGAAGGAGGAGCAGAAGAAACUCGAGGAGCUGAAAGCGAAGGCCGCGGGGAAGGGCCCCCUGGCCACAGGUGGAAUUAAGAAAUCUGGCAGAAAGUAAGCUGUUCCUUGUGCCUGAGGCAAUGGUGAUCUUUAAUUCCAUUCCUGUUUAAACAUGUGGAUUCCCUGCCAUACCAUCUGUUGCCACCUGUAGCUAGAAUGAAUUAUUGUCUUGGGCCUGUUGUACAUUUAAUAAAGUAAAAAAAAAUUAUUUUUUUAAGUUAUACAGUGGUUUUCUCUUCUCUCAAGAGUAGUUCUUCUCACUCAGCCAUUUCUACUUUAGCUGUAAGAUCAGAGUAAAUGCAGACCAGCAUUCUAACGAAGUGUGCUCUUGUCUUUAUUCUAUCCCAAAUUCUGUACCACCUGAAAUUAAACCAACUCUUGAAAUGACCGUUGUUUUUGUGUAGUUGUACCCAAUGGAAUACAUUACAGGAGGUUAGUGGAAAUAAAACCCAUCUUUCUUUGUUAUGACAUCCACAUUGUCAUUUGUGGUAAUAGGGUUCAUCUAUCAUAUGAGGUGUCUGCUACGUGCAGGUGGGGGCCUGUUACCAGCAAACAAUUGUGUUGUCAGGGAACUUAUGUAUUGCGGGAGGGGAGCAGGACAAAUACAUAAGGUGUGUGCUAUAAAGGGAAGACUAGGGAAAGGAGAGAUUCCUGAAAGUCAGAACCACUAGGGUUUCAAAAAGGUUCCUGCUAGGUUCACAUGUACACCCUACGUCCAUCCCAUCAGCAACAUUAAAUCUGACCCCUGCUUUCUUCCUCCAAGGCCACCCCUCCCUCUAUUCUCACCCUAAAAUCCCCACCCUGGGUUGCCACAGUCAGUCUUCCUGCCCUUGCUCCCUACAAUAGAAUCUUCACUCAGGACCCAGAAUGUUCUUGCUAAACUGGAAAGUCAUAGUUUUGUCUCCUUGGCUCAGAAUACUUGAGUGGCUUCUCACAGCAAAAGCCAGAGUCCCAGCAAUGCCACUGAGGCCCUAACAUCUGGAUGCCACUCCCUAAUAGCUACUGUUCAUCCCCGUGACCCAUCUUGAGCCACAGUGGUAUACAUAGCCGGCAAGCUCCUGCCUCACUGUUGUCACCAGCUUGCUUCUGCCUGUCCCUCUUCUGGGUGCUGGAAGCCACUUCCCUUGAGAAAGCCGGUACAUACAGCACAGCAGGGAGCUGCUCCCUGACUGCGCUAUGGACAGUGGUAGUCCCAAAGUCUUACUAGUUUCAUUUUGUUCUGGUGUCUGCCAAUUAUCUACUAUCCUUUAUUCCAGGAGUAAAUGACGAGAGAGACCAUCCAUGUGUACUAAAUGCGGUCAGACACCCGCAGCAAUUAAGCAUUCAACAUUUGGGCCCCUAUCUGAGCAACCCUACCAGUCGCCUCAACAGUAAACUCAGGUGUUGAAGACCUA